UUAAACUGAAGAGUUUGAUCAUGGCUCAGAUUGAACGCUGGCGGCAGGCCUAACACAUGCAAGUCGAGCGGUAACAGAUCCAGCUUGCUGGAUGCUGACGAGCGGCGGACGGGUGAGUAAUGCAUAGGAAUCUGCCCGAUAGUGGGGGAUAACCUGGGGAAACCCAGGCUAAUACCGCAUACGUCCUACGGGAGAAAGGGGGCUCCGGCUCCCGCUAUGGGAUGAGCCUAUGUCGGAUUAGCUAGUUGGUGAGGUAACGGCUCACCAAGGCCACGAUCCGUAGCUGGUCUGAGAGGAUGAUCAGCCACAUCGGGACUGAGACACGGCCCGAACUCCUACGGGAGGCAGCAGUGGGGAAUAUUGGACAAUGGGCGAAAGCCUGAUCCAGCCAUGCCGCGUGUGUGAAGAAGGCCCUCGGGUUGUAAAGCACUUUCAGCGAGGAAGAACGCCUAGCGGUUAAUACCCGCUAGGAAAGACAUCACUCGCAGAAGAAGCACCGGCUAACUCCGUGCCAGCAGCCGCGGUAAUACGGAGGGUGCAAGCGUUAAUCGGAAUUACUGGGCGUAAAGCGCGCGUAGGUGGCUUGAUAAGCCGGUUGUGAA
rnacentral:rRNA from 1 species